rnacentral:rRNA from 1 species
AGAGUUUGAUCCUGGCUCAGGAUGAACGCUGGCGGUAUGCUUAACACAUGCAAGUCGAACGGGAUGCUUAGGCAUCUAGUGGCGGACGGGUGAGUAACGCGUGAGAAUCUGGCUCCAGGUCGGGGAUAACAGUUGGAAACGACUGCUAAUACCGGAUGUGCCGAGAGGUGAAAGAUUUAUCGCCUGGAGAUGAGCUCGCGUCUGAUUAGCUAGUUGGCGGUGUAAGGGACCACCAAGGCGUCGAUCAGUAGCUGGUCUGAGAGGAUGAUCAGCCACACUGGGACUGAGACACGGCCCAGACUCCUACGGGAGGCAGCAGUGGGGAAUUUUCCGCAAUGGGCGAAAGCCUGACGGAGCAAUACCGCGUGAGGGAGGAAGGCUCUUGGGUCGUAAACCUCUUUUCUCAAGGAAGAAGAAAGUGACGGUACUUGAGGAAUAAGCAUCGGCUAACUCCGUGCCAGCAGCCGCGGUAAUACGGAGGAUGCAAGCGUUAUCCGGAAUGAUUGGGCGUAAAGGGUCUGCAGGUGGAACUGAAAGUCUGCUGUUAAAGAGUUUGGCUUAACCAAAUAAAAGCGGUGGAAACUACAGAACUAGAGUGCGGUAGGGGCAAAAGGAAUUCCUGGUGUAGCGGUGAAAUGCGUAGAUAUCAGGAAGAACACCGGUGGCGAAAGCGUUUUGCUAGACCGUAACUGACACUGAGGGACGAAAGCUAGGGGAGCGAAUGGGAUUAGAUACCCCAGUAGUCCUAGCCGUAAACGAUGGAUACUAGGCGUGGCUUGUAUCGACCCGAGCCGUGCCGGAGCUAACGCGUUAAGUAUCCCGCCUGGGGAGUACGCACGCAAGUGUGAAACUCAAAGGAAUUGACGGGGGCCCGCACAAGCGGUGGAGUAUGUGGUUUAAUUCGAUGCAACGCGAAGAACCUUACCAAGACUUGACAUCCUGCGAAUCCUGGUGAAAGCUGGGAGUGCCUUAGGGAGCGCAGAGACAGGUGGUGCAUGGCUGUCGUCAGCUCGUGUCGUGAGAUGUUGGGUUAAGUCCCGCAACGAGCGCAACCCUCGUUUUUAGUUGCCAGCAUUAAGUUGGGCACUCUAGAGAGACUGCCGGUGACAAACCGGAGGAAGGUGGGGAUGACGUCAAGUCAGCAUGCCCCUUACGUCUUGGGCUACACACGUACUACAAUGCUACGGACAGAGGGCAGCGAGCCAGGGAUGGCAAGCGAAUCCAGAAACCGUAGCUCAGUUCAGAUCGAAGGCUGCAACUCGCCUUCGUGAAGGAGGAAUCGCUAGUAAUUGCAGGUCAGCAUACUGCAGUGAAUUCGUUCCCGGGCCUUGUACACACCGCCCGUCACACCAUGGAAGUUGGUCACGCCCGAAGUCAUUACCCCAACCGAAAGGAGGGGGAUGCCUAAGGUAGGACUGGUAUCGUGAC